rnacentral:rRNA from 1 species
GCAGUCGAGCGGAUUGAUGGGAGCUUGCUCCCAUCAGUCAGCGGCGGACGGGUGAGUAACACGUGGGUAACCUGCCUGUAAGACUGGGAUAACUCCGGGAAACCGGGGCUAAUACCGGAUAACUCAUUUCCUCGCAUGAGGAAAUGUUGAAAGGUGGCUUUUAGCUAUCACUUACAGAUGGACCCGCGGCGCAUUAGCUAGUUGGUGAGGUAACGGCUCACCAAGGCGACGAUGCGUAGCCGACCUGAGAGGGUGAUCGGCCACACUGGGACUGAGACACGGCCCAGACUCCUACGGGAGGCAGCAGUAGGGAAUCUUCCGCAAUGGACGAAAGUCUGACGGAGCAACGCCGCGUGAGUGAUGAAGGUUUUCGGAUCGUAAAACUCUGUUGUUAGGGAAGAACAAGUACCGUUCGAAUAGGGCGGUACCUUGACGGUACCUAACCAGAAAGCCACGGCUAACUACGUGCCAGCAGCCGCGGUAAUACGUAGGUGGCAAGCGUUGUCCGGAAUUAUUGGGCGUAAAGCGCGCGCAGGUGGUUUCUUAAGUCUGAUGUGAAAGCCCACGGCUCAACCGUGGAGGGUCAUUGGAAACUGGGGAACUUGAGUGCAGAAGAGGAGAGUGGAAUUCCAAGUGUAGCGGUGAAAUGCGUAUAUAUUUGGAGGAACACCAGUGGCGAAAGCGACGUUCUGGUCUGUAACUGACACUGAGGCGCGAAAGCGUGGGGAGCAAACACGAUUACAUACCCUGGUGGUCCACGCCGUAAACGAUGAGUGCUAAGU